GCAGGGAUCGCCCGCUGGGCAGCAGGUAUGUGAUCAGCAGGCACCUCAGGCUUGGAUGGACCCCUAGUGUCCCUCAGAGCCCAUCAGACCCCCUCUCCGUAGCUGAGGGCUGUAUCUCUAGACAGAAGUCACUUCCUCCCCCUAAACUCCUCCUCCCACCUCCCCCCGCCGUGCCUAGGCCUCAAGAGUUUCAGCGACCCCGGGGUCUCAAAGCUUGGCUGGAACCACCCCCGUAUACCCCUAGGCUUCCAGUCUCCACUGGUGUGGACCUGAGUCUAUACUCACGACCACCCUUUCUAAGAAAGAUCCGGGCUGCCGACGUGGUGUCGGGUCCCGGAGGUCGCCUAGCUGCCACCUGCCGGGCCACCUGCACCUCUGGUCAGGUGUGACCCAGGCGCUCCUGGCCCAGAAAAAGGGGAAAUAGAUUUCUGCUGUCUUCACGGGGUGCCCCCUCUUUCGCCUCUCUGGGAGUCUGACUCCGUACUGGGGUCUCCCGCUCGCAGGGGCCCCGAGAC
rnacentral:lncRNA from 1 species